CCGGACAACACAGGAUGAAUGUUACAACAACAAGGACUGUACCUGGCUGCAAUGCAUUUCAAUGAAAAUGCAUGUCUGCUGGCAACUACCUCAUCUGGAGAGCCCAUGUAGAUUAUUCUUUCCCAAGUUCAAGAAGGGAGAAGGCACAGCAAAGCCUAUCAGAACUCCUGAAACCCUAAACUGCGCUGUGGAUUCAUCUCCAGUUGUCCCAGACAAGGCUAGCAUCUCCACACCACCUCCUGAUGCAUGCGUCUUCACUCCACGCCCUGAUGCAUGCGUCUUCACUCCAC